UACGUAGGGGGCGAGCGUUGUCCGGAUUCAUUGGGCGUAAAGAGCUCGUAGGCGGCUUGCUAAGUCGGGUGUGAAACCCCCGAGCUCAACUCGGGGUCGCCAUCUGAUACUGGUAUGGCUGGAGUCCGGUAGGGGACCACGGAAUUCCUGGUGUAGCGGUGAAAUGCGCAGAUAUCAGGAAGAACACCUAUGGCGAAGGCAGCUCUCUGGGACGGUACUGACGCUGAGACGCGAAAGCGUGGGGAGCGAACAGG
rnacentral:rRNA from 1 species